rnacentral:rRNA from 1 species
GACGAACGCUGGCGGCGUGGAUUAGGCAUGCAAGUCGGACGGUAGAGCUUUAUCGUAAGAUAGAGUUUGAGAGUGGCGAACGGGUGAGUAACACGUAGGAAUCUACCCUUAAGACGGGGACAACCCAGGGAAACUUGGGCUAAUACCGGAUGAGAGUGCGAGAGAUUGCAUUUAAAAGGAUGGCGAAAGUUGUCGCUUAGGGAUGAGCCUGCGGUCUAUUAGUUAGUUGGUGAGGUAAGAGCUCACCAAGGCGAUGAUAGAUAGGCGGCCUUAACGGGUGGUCGCCCACACUGGGAUUGAGAUACGGCCCAGACUCCUACGGGAGGCAGCAGUCGAGAAUAGUCUACAAUGGCCGGAAGGCUGAUAGUGCGACGCCGCGUGAACGAGGGAGCCCUUCGGGUGUAAAGUCGUUUUCUAUUACGAGCAGUGCUAUAUAUAAUGGAUAGUAUAUAUAGAGGAUAGUAGUAUAGGAAUAAAGCAACGGACUAACUACCGUGCCAGCCGCCCGG